UAAUUAUUAAUUUUUUAUUUUUAGGUACGCGAUUUGAGCAUCGCCUUCGGCUUGGUCACUUUCACGUAUCUUUUUCUGGGAAUUGCGUUCUAUAUAACGUUUCCCUUGGCAAAAUCCUGCAUCCAGGAUAAUAUCCUCGACAAUUUUAACAAGCGCGACACAUUGACUAUAAUCGCUCGAUUGUUAUUAUUGUUUCAAUUGGUAACUGUCUUUCCACUUAUCUCUUUCAUGUUGCGUAACGAUAUUUUCACAAACGUCGACCUGUUUUUCAAAAAUUAUAGUCCAGGACACUUCUCCUACGUCAAAGUUGUUAUUCUUAAUCUAGGGAUAAUCGCAGUGUGUAUUUUAUUCGCUUGUUUCUUGCCAAAGAUUGGAACAUUAAUCAGAUAUACCGGUGCUUUAAGUGGGAUGGUAUAUAUUUUUCUUUUGCCAAGCCUUCUUAAAAUUGCUUCUCUUAGGAAAGAGGGACAACUGACUGUGUUUAAACUAGUAUUUCAACUGUGUAUAAUCGGUCUAGGUGUACUUAAUUUAAUUUCGCAAUUUUUUAUUGCCGAUUGAAAAUAAAAAGAUGACAGAUAUUGAUUAGAGAUAUGUACGUACAGGUAUAUGCAGAAAAUAGUACUAAAUAGACUUAUGGUUAAUUAUAUGUGUUCAACACAUGCCCAAUACUACAAAAAAAAACAAUUGUGUGUAAAUAAUUUUUGGGACAGUAACUGGUUUUACUUUCUCAAAACAGCAGUGACUAUUUUUUGUUUUUCUGAUGAAAUGUAUUUGUUAUUAUUAUUAUUCUUAUUUUAAAUGUGUGUAUUUAUUCGUU